GCUCAACCGGGGAGGGUCAUUGGAAACUGGGGAACUUGAGUGCAGAAGAGGAGAGUGGAAUUCCACGUGUAGCGGUGAAAUGCGUAGAGAUGUGGAGGAACACCAGUGGCGAAGGCGACUCUCUGGUCUGUAACUGACGCUGAGGCGCGAAAGCGUGGGGAGCGAACAGGAUUAGAUACCCUGGUAGUCCACGCCGUAAACGAUGAGUGCUAAGUGUUAGAGGGUUUCCGCCCUUUAGUGCUGCAGCAAACGCAUUAAGCACUCCGCCUGGGGAGUACGGUCGCAAGACUGAAACUCAAAGGAAUUGACGGGGGCCCGCACAAGCGGUGGAGCAUGUGGUUUAAUUCGAAGCAACGCGAAGAACCUUACCAGGUCUUGACAUCCUCUGACAACCCUAGAGAUAGGGCUUCCCCUUCGGGGGCAGAGUGACAGGUGGUGCAUGGUUGUCGUCAGCUCGUGUCGUGAGAUGUUGGGUUAAGUCCCGCAACGAGCGCAACCCUUGAUCUUAGUUGCCAGCAUUCAGUUGGGCACUCUAAGGUGACUGCCGGUGACAAAUCGGAGGAAGGUGGGGAUGACGUCAAAUCAUCAUGCCCCUUAUGACCUGGGCUACACACGUGCUACAAUGGGCAGAACAAAG
rnacentral:rRNA from 1 species